GGAGGGGGCUAGCGUUGCUCGGAAUUACUGGGCGUAAAGGGCGCGUAGGCGGAUUUUCUAGUCAGGCGUGAAAGCCCCGGGCUCAACCCGGGAAUUGCGCUUGAUACUGGAAGUCUAGAGUUCUGGAGAGGGUGGUGGAAUUCCCAGUGUAGAGGUGAAAUUCGUAGAUAUUGGGAAGAACACCGGUGGCGAAGGCGGCCACCUGGCCAGACACUGACGCUAAGGCGCGAAAGCGUGGGGAGCAAACAGGAUUAGAUACCCUGGUAGUCCACGCCGUAAACGAUGUGUGCUAGACGUCGGGCAGCUUGCUGUUCGGUGUCGCAGCUAACGCGUUAAGCACACCGCCUGGGGAGUACGGUCGCAAGAUUA
rnacentral:rRNA from 1 species